rnacentral:rRNA from 1 species
UGGCUCAGAUUGAACGCUGGCGGCAGGCCUAACACAUGCAAGUCGAGCGGAUGAAAGGAGCUUGCUCCUGAAUUCAGCGGCGGACGGGUGAGUAAUGCCUAGGAAUCUGCCUGGUAGUGGGGGACAACGUUUCGAAAGGAACGCUAAUACCGCAUACGUCCUACGGGAGAAAGCAGGGGACCUUCGGGCCUUGCGCUAUCAGAUGAGCCUAGGUCGGAUUAGCUAGUUGGUGAGGUAAUGGCUCACCAAGGCGACGAUCCGUAACUGGUCUGAGAGGAUGAUCAGUCACACUGGAACUGAGACACGGUCCAGACUCCUACGGGAGGCAGCAGUGGGGAAUAUUGGACAAUGGGCGAAAGCCUGAUCCAGCCAUGCCGCGUGUGUGAAGAAGGUCUUCGGAUUGUAAAGCACUUUAAGUUGGGAGGAAGGGUUGUAGAUUAAUACUCUGCAAUUUUGACGUUACCGACAGAAUAAGCACCGGCUAACUCUGUGCCAGCAGCCGCGGUAAUACAGAGGGUGCAAGCGUUAAUCGGAAUUACUGGGCGUAAAGCGCGCGUAGGUGGUUUGUUAAGUUGGAUGUGAAAUCCCCGGGCUCAACCUGGGAACUGCAUCCAAAACUGGCAAGCUAGAGUAUGGUAGAGGGUGGUGGAAUUUCCUGUGUAGCGGUGAAAUGCGUAGAUAUAGGAAGGAACACCAG